rnacentral:rRNA from 1 species
UCCCGCAACGAGCGCAACCCUUAUCCUUUGUUGCCAGCGGUUCGGCCGGGAACUCAAAGGAGACUGCCAGUGAUAAACUGGAGGAAGGUGGGGAUGACGUCAAGUCAUCAUGGCCCUUACGACCAGGGCUACACACGUGCUACAAUGGCGCAUACAAAGAGAAGCGACCUCGCGAGAGCAAGCGGACCUCAUAAAGUGCGUCGUAGUCCGGAUUGGAGUCUGCAACUCGACUCCAUGAAGUCGGAAUCGCUAGUAAUCGUGGAUCAGAAUGCCACGGUGAAUACGUUCCCGGGCCUUGUACACACCGCCCGUCACACCAUGGGAGUGGGUUGCAAAAGAAGUAGGUAGCUUAACCUUCGGGAGGGCGCUUACCACUUUGUGAUUCAUGACUGGGGUGAAGUCGUAACAAGGUAACCGUAGGGGAACCUGCGGUUGGAUCACCUCCUUA